rnacentral:rRNA from 1 species
UACGUAGGAUGCUAGCGUUGUCCGGAUUUACUGGGCGUAAAGCGCGCGCAGGCGGCUAUCCAAGUCAGUGGUGAAAGCCCGGAGCUCAACUCCGGAACUGCCAUUGAAACUGUUUAGCUUGAGGACGAGAGAGGUGAGUGGAAUUCCCAGUGUAGAGGUGAAAUUCGUAGAUAUUGGGAAGAACACCGGUGGCGAAGGCGGCUCACUGGCUCGUAUCUGACGCUCAGGCGCGACAGCGUGGGGAUCAAACAGG